UUUUUAACAUGUUGCUCCAUUUUGUUUUAACUUUACUUUAAAUAUGUAACAAUUGUUAUCACAAUCCAGUUUAUUCCAGGCAUAGACAUGGCACAUAUUGCUUUGGGGGAGGGGAAACAGAAAUAUGGGAGGGGUGGACCCUUUAUAAAACUGUGCUCGUCUGAAAAGCAGUGGAAAAUUGCAAACCUCGCUUUUAGUAUUUCCGGCCACUUAUUAGAACAGAAGACUUAAAUAAGUAAAUCGCUACCUUUAUUUCUGUUUUUCUAUCACCACCCGUAUCUAUAAUGACAGAAAGUAGCAAUACUUAUACCAGUAGCUGACAGGGAGACAAGACAGAGGCUUUGGGACAGUUCUCCGUUAUGUGUAAUGAAUGUAUGGCUGUAUAUAGAUUUCGAGAGAAAAAGCAGUGACAACUCAAAUAUUCUUUGCCAGUUAACCCGUUCACUACAGAGUUUUACUUAAAGGGACACUAUAGUCACCUGAACAACUUUAGCUUAAUGAAGCAGUUUUGGUGUAUAGAACAUGCCCCUGCAGCCUCACUGCUCAAUCCUCUGCCAUUUAGGAGUUAAAUCCCUUUGUUUAUGAAUCCUAGUCACACCUCCCUGCAUGUGACUUGCACAGCCUUCCAUAAACGCUUCCUGUAAAGAGAGCCCUAUUUAGGCUUUCUUUAUUGCAAGUUCUGUUUAAUUAAGAUUUUCUUAUCCCCUGCUAUGUUAAUAGCUUGCUAGACCCUGCAAGAGCCUCCUGUAUGUGAUUAAAGUUCAAUUUAGAGAUUUAGAUACAAUUAUUUAA